UGGGUUCGGGGUUGCCUUUACUUGCAAGUCGAACGAACUCUGGUAUUGAUUGGUGCUUGCAUCAUGAUUUACAUUUGAGUGAGUGGCGAACUGGUGAGUAACACGUGGGAAACCUGCCCAGAAGCGGGGGAUAACACCUGGAAACAGAUGCUAAUACCGCAUAACAACUUGGACCGCAUGGUCCGAGUUUGAAAGAUGGCUUCGGCUAUCACUUUUGGAUGGUCCCGCGGCGUAUUAGCUAGAUGGUGGGGUAACGGCUCACCAUGGCAAUGAUACGUAGCCGACCUGAGAGGGUAAUCGGCCACAUUGGGACUGAGACACGGCCCAAACUCCUACGGGAGGCAGCAGUAGGGAAUCUUCCACAAUGGACGAAAGUCUGAUGGAGCAACGCCGCGUGAGUGAAGAAGGGUUUCGGCUCGUAAAACUCUGUUGUUAAAGAAGAACAUAUCUGAGAGUAACUGUUCAGGUAUUGACGGUAUUUAACCAGAAAGCCACGGCUAACUACGUGCCAGCAGCCGCGGUAAUACGUAGGUGGCAAGCGUUGUCCGGAUUUAUUGGGCGUAAAGCGAGCGCAGGCGGUUUUUUAAGUCUGAUGUGAAAGCCUUCGGCUCAACCGAAGAAGUGCAUCGGAAACUGGGAAACUUGAGUGCAGAAGAGGACAGUGGAACUCCAUGUGUAGCGGUGAAAUGCGUAGAUAUAUGGAAGAACACCAGUGGCGAAGGCGGCUGUCUGGUCUGUAACUGACGCUGAGGCUCGAAAGUAUGGGUAGCAAACAGGAUUAGAUACCCUGGUAGUCCAUACCGUAAACGAUGAAUGCUAAGUGUUGGAGGGUUUCCGCCCUUCAGUGCUGCAGCUAACGCAUUAAGCAUUCCGCCUGGGGAGUACGGCCGCAAGGCUGAAACUCAAAGGAAUUGACGGGGGCCCGCACAAGCGGUGGAGCAUGUGGUUUAAUUCGAAGCUACGCGAAGAACCUUACCAGGUCUUGACAUACUAUGCAAAUCUAAGAGAUUAGACGUUCCCUUCGGGGACAUGGAUACAGGUGGUGCAUGGUUGUCGUCAGCUCGUGUCGUGAGAUGUUGGGUUAAGUCCCGCAACGAGCGCAACCCUUAUUAUCAGUUGCCAGCAUUAAGUUGGGCACUCUGGUGAGACUGCCGGUGACAAACCGGAGGAAGGUGGGGAUGACGUCAAAUCAUCAUGCCCCUUAUGACCUGGGCUACACACGUGCUACAAUGGAUGGUACAACGAGUUGCGAACUCGCGAGAGUAAGCUAAUCUCUUAAAGCCAUUCUCAGUUCGGAUUGUAGGCUGCAACUCGCCUACAUGAAGUCGGAAUCGCUAGUAAUCGCGGAUCAGCAUGCCGCGGUGAAUACGUUCCCGGGCCUUGUACACACCGCCCGUCACACCAUGAGAGUUUGUAACACCCAAAGUCGGUGGGGUAACCUUUUAGGAACCAGCCGCUCUAAGCUAGAAUAAAAUAACG
rnacentral:rRNA from 2 species